UAGGGAAUUUUCCACAAUGGGCGAAAGCCUGAUGGAGCAACGCCGCGUGCAGGAUGAAUGCCUUCGGGUUGUAAACUGCUUUUGUUAGUGACGAUUAUGACGGUAACUAGCGAAUAAGGGUCUGCUAACUACGUGCCAGCAGCCGCGGUCAUACGUAGGACCCAAGCGUUAUCCGGAAUUACUGGGCGUAAAGAGUUGCGUAGGUGGCAAAGUAAGCGAAUAGUGAAAGCGUGUGGCUCAACCAUAUACACAUUAUUCGAACUGCUUAGCUAGAGAACGAGAGAGGUAGAUGGAAUUUCUAAUGUAGGGGUAAUAUCCGUAGAUAUUAGAAGGAACACCGAUGGCGUAGGCAGUCUACUGGCUCGUUUCUGACACUAAUGCACGAAAGCAUGGGGAGCAAACAGGAUUAGAUACCCCGGUAGUCC
rnacentral:rRNA from 1 species